rnacentral:rRNA from 1 species
AUUGAACGCUGGCGGCAUGCUUUACACAUGCAAGUCGAACGGCAGCGCGGGCUUCGGCCUGGCGGCGAGUGGCGAACGGGUGAGUAAUGCAUCGGAACGUGCCCAGUAGUGGGGGAUAGCCCGGCGAAAGCCGGAUUAAUACCGCAUACGACCUGAGGGUGAAAGCGGGGGACCGAAAGGCCUCGCGCUAUUGGAGCGGCCGAUGUCGGAUUAGCUAGUUGGUGGGGUAAAGGCUUACCAAGGCGACGAUGCGUAGCUGGUCUGAGAGGACGACCAGCCACACUGGGACUGAGACACGGCCCAGACUCCUACGGGAGGCAGCAGUGGGGAAUUUUGGACAAUGGGGGCAAGCCUGAUGCAGCCAUGCCGCGUGCGGGAAGAAGGCCUUCGGGUUGUAAAGCGCUUUUGUUCGGGAAGAAAUCCUCUGGGCUAAUACCCCGGGGGGAUGACGGUACCGGAAGAAUAAGCACCGGCUAACUACGUG